rnacentral:piRNA from 1 species
UACGUUUAGAUGUUUAGUGGACCGUUC